GAGUUUGAUCGUGGCUCAGAACGAACGCUGGCGGCAGGCCUAAAACAUGCAAGUCGAACGCCCUAGCAAUAGGGAGUGGCGCACGGGUGAGUAACGCGUGGGAAUAUGCCCUUCACUACGGGACAACGUCGGGAAACUGACGCUAAUACCGUAUAAUGACUCCGGUCCAAAGAUUUAUCGGUGAAGGAUUAGCCCGCGUCUGAUUAGCUAGUUGGUGAGGUAAUGGCUCACCAAGGCUACGAUCAGUAGCUGGUCUGAGAGGAUGAUCAGCCACACUGGGACUGAGACACGGCCCAGACUCCUACGGGAGGCAGCAGUUAGGAAUAUUGGACAAUGGGCGCAAGCCUGAUCCAGCCAUGCCGCGUGUGUGAUGAAGGCCUUAGGGUUGUAAAGCACUUUCGUUGGGG
rnacentral:rRNA from 1 species